AGACAGGUGGUGCAUGGUUGUCGUCAGCUCGUGUCGUGAGAUGUUGGGUUAAGUCCCGCAACGAGCGCAACCCCUAUCCUUAGUAGCCAGCACGUAAUGGUGGGAACUCUGAGGAAACUGCCAGGGAUAACCUGGAGGAAGGCGGGAAUGACGUCAAAUCAUCAUGCCCCUUAUGAUUUGGGCUACACACGUGCUACAAUGGCCUAAACAAAGGGAAGCAAACCCGCGAGGGGGGGCAAAUCUCAAAAAUAAGAUCCCAGUUCGGAUUGCAGUCUGCAACUCGACUGCACGAAGCUGGAAUCGCUAGUAAUCGCGGAUCAAAAUGCCGCGGUGAAUACUUUCCCGGGU
rnacentral:rRNA from 1 species